GUAAAACUGAAAAUGCAGCCCUACCCUGUACUCUACUGUAGUCACAGGUAUCUAACUAGAUGAUUUUAGCCUCCUCGGUAGUGUACACAGCCUGUUGCCUAUUCAGGUUGCCCUAAGGGACCUUGGAGACAGCC